rnacentral:rRNA from 1 species
UACGUAGGUGGCAAGCGUUGUCCGGAUUUAUUGGGUUUAAAGGGUGCGUAGGCGGCUUUGUAAGUCAGUAGUGAAAUACCCCAGCUCAACUGGGGGGGUGCUAUUGAUACUGCAUGGCUUGAGUACAGAUGAGGUAGGCGGAAUUGACGGUGUAGCGGUGAAAUGCGCAGAUAUCAGGAGGAACACCGGUGGCGAAGGCGGGUCUCUGGGCAGUAACUGACGCUGAGGAGCGAAAGCGUGGGGAGCGAACAGG